CUGAAAAAGGCAAACUUAUCGAAAGGUAGGGACGCAAAGCUACGAGUCUAAAAUCCUAUUGGAUAAAGAUAGUCGGGUUGCCAA
rnacentral:ncRNA from 1 species